rnacentral:rRNA from 1 species
CUCUUCUUGAAUAUAAUUUGAUGUAUGGCCUGCCCACUGAGUAUUGAAGGGCCGCGGUAUUUUGACCGUGCAAAGGUAGCAUAAUCAUUAGUCUUUUAAUUGUGGACUGGAAUGAAUGGUUUGACGAGGUGUUAACUGUCUUUAAUUUUUUUAUUGAAUUUAAAUUUUAGGUUAAAAUGCCUAAAUGUUUUUUUGGGACGAGAAGACCCUAUAGAGUUUUAUAUAUUUUUAAUUUUUUUUGUAUGAUAAGUUUUAAUUUAAAAAUUUAUUUUGUUGGGGUGAUGAGAAGAUUAGAUUAACUCUUUUUAUUUUUUUUAUAUUUAUUUAUAUAUAUUUGAUCCAUUUUUAUUGAUUAUAAGACUAAAUUACC